rnacentral:rRNA from 1 species
GACGAACGCUGGCGGCGUGCUUAACACAUGCAAGUCGAACGGAAAGGCCCUGCUUGCAGGGUACUCGAGUGGCGAACGGGUGAGUAACACGUGGGUGAUCUGCCCUGCACUUCGGGAUAAGCCUGGGAAACUGGGUCUAAUACCGGAUAGGAGCCAUUUUUAGUGUGAUGGUUGGAAAGUUUUUUCGGUGUAGGAUGAGCUCGCGGCCUAUCAGCUUGUUGGUGGGGUAAUGGCCUACCAAGGCGGCGACGGGUAGCCGGCCUGGGAGGGUGGACGGCCACAUUGGGACUGGGAUACGGCCCAGACUCCUACGGGAGGCAGCAGUGGGGAAUAUUGCACAAUGGGGGCAAGCCUGAUGCAGCGACGCCGCGUGGGGGAUGACGGCCUUCGGGUUGUAAACUCCUUUCGCUAGGGACGAAGCUUUUUGUGACGGUACCUAGAUAAGAAGCACCGGCUAACUACGUG